CUUUGGUGGCGACCGGCGCACGGGUGCGUAACGCGUAUGCAACCUACCUUUAACAGGGGCAUAACACUGAGAAAUUGGUACUAAUUCCCCAUAACAUUCGAGAAGGCAUCUUCUUGGGUUAAAAACUCCGGUGGUUAAAGAUGGGCAUGCGUUGUAUUAGCUAGUUGGUGAGGUAACGGCUCACCAAGGCAACGAUACAUAGGGGGACUGAGAGGUCAACCCCCCACAUUGGUACUGAGACACGGACCAA
rnacentral:rRNA from 1 species